CUUUUGUUUUCCAGGCACCAACAAAUAAGCAAACGUAUAUUGCAAUGAAUGAGUUUACAAGUCAAGUGUGGGUAUUGCAUUUUUCUCAUCGUUUUAAGCAUAAUCCCGUUAGUUUUUCCAACAGUGAAAUUUUUUUCCAUACACUCUUUUAACAUUUAGUAGUUUUUGACGAAACUGGCGAUUCCCACAAAGUUUACUAAUCGCUGAUCGCUAAAAAAAAUCCACAAGGUUUCAUUAGUGAUCUUUUGAAUUCAUCCGAGAUGCUCCCUACGAUUUCUGUUAUUUUUGCAAGCACAUUCGAAACGAGCAAUAUUUUCUCAUUCUCACGCCAGGAUGGAUGCAACAGAUCUAACAUCGUUGCUCUAUUCAAAAAUUCAUUGUAGGGGUGAUUUGCAAAAAAGAACAUGCAAAACAAGCAUGACAUUGAAAUAACAGAACUGGCAAAAGCAGUAAACGAAAAAAAAAGGGGCAAAAAUUAAGAAAUGAAACUGUAAAUGAACGGGUUUAAAAGAUAAAAAAUUUGCUUAAAUGUAUUAAUUAAACAGGGAAUUUGCUGAAAAAAGAGCACUGCUCUCAUACUUAACCUUCGUACUCUUAUUAUCGAGAAAACCAACGCUACUUGGUGAAUUGAUAUCUUCGCCAAUAGCAAAUUGGAUAUAUCAUUUAUCUCCAAUUCAUCAGCUAUCCCUUGCUGAAUCCACUAAAGAUUAAUAAUGAACGAAAAUAAUUUCAAUGAGAAGUAUGAGUUUGUUGGGUAAAGUGAUUUAUGAACCUAUGACAUGUUGAAUCGUGUAGUAACUUUCGUAAUGAAGAAAUGAUAUUGCCGUUCAAAUUAUAUCCUACUAAAUUUAAUCUUAUUACGAUCAACAAGCUAAAUCGUUCGGAUACUUACUAUUUUCAUCGACAUGAACUAAAACAAUAACGAGUAACAACUUUGAAUCGUAAACGAAUUCUAAAUUUUGGAGUAUGUUCCACAUUGAAGAUCGUUAAGAUGAAUGGCUAAAGCAAUUGAUUCCUAAAUAGAAAUUUCUUUUUUAUGCUAUCUUACUACCUCAUUGUUGUUAAAAAUACUUUUAUUUUGGAAAUUAAUGAAAGAUAGAGCGGUAUUGUUUAAUGGAAUUGAUCUUUCCGGAUCUGUCUAGAUUUUCAAUCCGCACUAGCGUACCAACACAUUAUACUUUGAAGCAUUUGAUUAGCGGCUUGUUCAAACACACACGUAGAUGUAUCACGGUAUUCCAUGAAGAGAUAUGAUCGUGGAAGAAAACUAAUAUGGGCGGCUAUCAAAAAAAGUCGACCGGCUGGAGAACUAGUUUGCAAUGAUGCCGAAGAAUGCAAAGGAAAAAUAUUAGGCACAUUUGAAGGCUAGGUAUUUGAGAAAAGAAUUAUAGUGAAUGAUAAU